AUUACAUUUCUCUGAACCUACCACCAAAUUAAUUCAUGGUUCUCUACUUACUCGCAGAUUUCGUGGAAGCAGAAAUUCAUUGUCAUAUUUUGGUACUACAUAGAAUAUGUGUCAAGACGGUCUUAAUUUGCACAUUAAGAAAUAUCCACUCUGCAGGUGGAUCUAAAUAUAGGUGCAUACGUCCAGGACACUGUGAAGCUCAGAAACCUAUCAUCGGAACCACAGAGAAGGUUUGAGAAGCAAUAAAGUUAACUAUUUUCAUCAACCUAGCGCAAGUUUUGGGGGCAAACAAUAAGCUAACAAAGUUCUUGUGGGCAGGAAUCCGCGAGGGUACCUCGAUAUUAUGGAUGGAGGGAGACACGCAUCAAUAAUUGACAUGUUUUUCAUUCUUCUAUUUACAUAAUAUAUUUACUUUUUAUUUUGAACUAUUUAGUAAGUAAGAGUUUAUUUUAUUUCGUAAGGUUAGGGUCUUGAUUGUACGACCCUUGGGUGGUCAGUAUUUUCACGAUUUUUUGUAUUUUAGAUAUCAUUAAGGAUAGACAUAGUCUCCAUUAUUAUGGAGACUAUGUAUGUAAUAAAAUAAUUGAUU